AGCGAACGCUGGCGGCAGGCCUAACACAUGCAAGUCGAACGAACCUUUCGGGGUUAGUGGCGGACGGGUGAGUAACACGUGGGAACGUGCCUUUAGGUUCGGUAUAACUCAGGGAAACUUGUGCUAAUACCGAAUGUGCCCUUCGGGGGAAAGAUUUACCGCCUUUAGAGCGGCCCGCGUCUGAUUAGCUAGUUGGUUGAGGUAAUGGCCCACCAAGGCGACGAUCAGUAGCUGGUCUGAGAGGAGGAUCAGCCACAUUGGGACUGAGACACGGCCCAAACUCCUACGGGAGGCAGCAGUGGGGAAUCUUGCGCAAUGGGCGAGAGCCUGACGCAGCCAUGCCGCGUGAGUGAUGAAGGUCUUAGGAUUGUAAAAUUCUUUCACCGGGGACGAUAAUGACGGUACCCGGAGAAGAAGCCCCGGCUAACUUCGUG
rnacentral:rRNA from 1 species